UACAGAGGUCUCAAGCGUUGUUCGGAUUCAUUGGGCGUAAAGGGUGUGUAGGUGGCGCGCUAAGUCGGGUGUGAAAUUUCGGAGCUUAACUCCGAAACUGCAUUCGAUACUGGCGUGCUUGAGGACUGGAGAGGAGACUGGGAAUUCAUGGUGUAGCAGUGAAAUGCGUAGAGAUCAUGAGGAAGACCAGUGGCGAAGGCGGGUCUCUGGACCGAAUACUGACGUGAGGCGCGAAAGCGUGGGGAGCAAACAGG
rnacentral:rRNA from 1 species